CGAAGGCUUGGGGUGCUGGCGCGAUGACCCGCUCUGGGCUCCAUGGCGGAACUGGUCCGGAGGGAUUAUUCCCCUCCAGGGAGAGAGGUCUGCAGCCGGGCCUCAGUGUCUCAGUUCGUGGCCUGGCAUUUUGUGAAGAGUGUCUUCGUCUCUGCAUUGCUAGUGCAAUACAGCAUGAUAAAAAUUCAAUAAAGAUUGAUCGAAGAGUCUUGAUGUCUUUUGGGAAAGGAGCUCUGUGGUUACCUUUACUCUAAGAUUAGAAGGGUGUUACUGAUUCUUACCUCAGAGAAGAGAAUGUCAUGGAGACAAAAUGACCUGCUUAGAGUUCUGCCUGCCCCAGCAUGGAGAGCAGAGCACAAAGAUUUCUUCUGGACUCCCACAAUCUCCCUUGGAAUCCAAGAACUUGUCUACCAUCCCAACAGUUUAGUACCCUCUUGUAAGCCCCUGGACAAAUCCUCUGAUGCCUUGAUACCUCAGUUUUUCCCCACUAUAAAUGGGAAGAUAAAUUCACCAUAAACUGUA